rnacentral:rRNA from 1 species
CAGUAGCCACGGGAAUACGGAGGGAGCUAGCGUUGUUCGGAAUUACUGGGCGUAAAGCGCACGUAGGCGGUUAUUCAAGUCAGAGGUGAAAGCCCAGUGCUCAACACUGGAACUGCCUUUGAAACUAGAUAACUUGAAUCCAGGAGAGGUGAGUGGAAUUCCGAGUGUAGAGGUGAAAUUCGUAGAUAUUCGGAAGAACACCAGUGGCGAAGGCGGCUCACUGGACUGGUAUUGACGCUGAGGUGCGAAAGCGUGGGGAGCAAACAGGAUUAGAUACCCCUGUAGUCCCUGUCUCUUAUAA